AUUGAACGCUGGCGGCAUGCCUUACACAUGCAAGUCGAACGGCAGCAUGGAGAGCUUGCUCUCUGAUGGCGAGUGGCGAACGGGUGAGUAAUGCAUCGGAACGUACCGUGUAAUGGGGGAUAACGUAGCGAAAGUUACGCUAAUACCGCAUACGACCUGAGGGUGAAAGCAGGGGAUCGCAAGACCUUGCGUUAUACGAGCGGCCGAUGUCAGAUUAGCUAGUUGGUGAGGUAAAGGCUCAUCAAGGCGACGAUCUGUAGCGGGUCUGAGAGGAGAAUCCGGCGAACUGGGACGGAGACACGGCCCAGACUCCUACGGGAGGCAGCAGUGGGGAAUUUUGGACAAUGGGGGCAACCCUGAUCCAGCCAUGCCGCGUGAGGGAAGAAGGCCUUCGGGUUGUAAAGCUCUUUCGGCCGGGAAGAAAUCGCACAGGCUAAUACUCUGUGUGGAUGACGGUACCGGCAUAAGAAGCACCGGCUAACUACGUGCCAGCAGCCGCCGUAA
rnacentral:rRNA from 1 species